rnacentral:rRNA from 1 species
UACGUAGGCAGCGAGCGUUGUUCGGAAUUACUGGGCGUAAAGAGUGUGUAGGCGGUGCUCCAAGUCUGGUGUGAAAUCUCCCGGCUUAACUGGGAGGGUGCAUUAGAAACUGGAAUGCUAGAGGAUGGGAGAGGUAGGCGGAAUUCCUGGUGUAGCGGUGAAAUGCGUAGAUAUCGUAAGGAAGACCAGUGGCGAAGGCGGGUCUCUGGACAGUUCCUGAGCACUGAGGCACGAAGGCUAGGGGAGCAAACGGG